UAAUUAUAAAAAGGAGGGGAUCAGUUUUCAUCACUUUUCAAAAAAUUAGUUUGUCAGUUUUUGAAAAGUGACGAAAACUGAUCCCCUCCUUUUUAUAAUUAUGA
rnacentral:pre_miRNA from 1 species